rnacentral:lncRNA from 1 species
CUUUCCAGAAGGCCUAAAUAACCACACUGAAUUGAAAUAAAACAAAACAAAGAAAAUCCCAAGUAACAAAUUACAUUCUUUUCCUCAAAAAAUGAAAAAUAGAACUACUGUGUAAUCAAUCCAUCAAUCCUAUUAAGGUUAUAUAAACCAAAAGAAAUGAAAUCAGUGUAAAGUGAAAAGAGCUGAAAACCAGGACCAGACCAGGACUAUAACAAGCCUUUAUUAUGGGGAAGAUCUGUCAGGCUGUCUCUAAACAAAGGAGAGAAAGCAACAUGGCAGAACAGGGAGCUUCUUUUAUGGGAGUGGGGUGGAGAUAGCCUGAGCUGGCAUGGAGUUGAGUGAAGCAGUAUUAAGGGAUUGGGGGAGCCUGUGACAUCAUUAGGAGGAAGCUGUAACAUCACUAGGAGGGGCUUGUGACAUCACUAGUUGCUAGGAGGUAGCAAGUAUCAUGUUACCUUUCUUGGCAAGAAGAGAGGCAUUUUGGGAAGAAGAAGACUGUCCUUUAGUGGAAGCCAUAUUUUAACAUGGUAUUAUGGGAAGGAGGCUGCUAUUCUAUGUGGCAGCCAUUUUAAGGUUCAGAGCAUCAUGGGAAGGAGGAGGCUGCUAUUGUAUGUAGCAGCCAUCUUAAGCUUGAGAGAUGUUCACUUAUUUAAACCUUCAAACAUACCAUCAAGUAUCAUUACAAGCGAGAAACCCCCAACCUGUUAGAUGCGCUGAGUUCGUGUUUCAGGAUCCUGAAGAAUGGACUCAAGGACAAAGGAGGUGAACAGUAGGAAGAGUUUUAUCAAGGGAAAGUUUGUGAGAGACAGGAGG